AGGGAAUAUUGCUUAAUGGGCGAAAGCCUGAGGCAGCAACGCCGCGUGAACGAAGAAGGCCUUCGGGUCGUAAAGUUCUUUUACGUGGGAUGAGGAAGGACAGUACCACGAGAAUAAGUCUCGGCUAACUACGUGCCAGCAGCCGCGGUAAAACGUAGGAGGCGAGCGUUAUCCGGAUUUACUGGGCGUAAAGCGCGUGUAGGAGGCGCUACAAGUUGGAUGUGAAAGCUCCCGGCUUAACUGGGAGAGGUCGUUCAAGACUGUAGGGCUAGAGUGAGGCAGAGGUAGAUGGAACUCCGGGAGUAGUGGUGAAAUGCGUAGAUAUCCGGAAGAACACCAGAGGCGAAAGCGAUCUACUGGGCCUAAACUGACACUGAGACGCGAAAGCCAGGGUAGCAAACGG
rnacentral:rRNA from 1 species